UACGUAGGGACCGAGCGUUGUCCGGAUUCAUUGGGCGUAAAGAGCUCGUAGGCGGUCGGGUAAGUCGGGUGUGAAAUCUCCGGGCUCAACUCGGAGGGGCCACCCGAUACUGCACGACUCGAGUCCGGUAGGGGAGUGGGGAAUUCCUGGUGUAGCGGUGAAAUGCGCAGAUAUCAGGAGGAACACCGGUGGCGAAGGCGCCACUCUGGGCCGGUACUGACGCUGAGGAGCGAAAGCGUGGGUAGCAAACAGG
rnacentral:rRNA from 1 species